CUAAGCUCAGUCUCACCCAGUCCUUCUGAUGUUAGGACAAGCUGGAUCACAAGGGGAUUUAUUUUCUGCAACACUUCCUUACCCUUUAACUCUACAUCCUGCUGUUCUGAGAGGGUCCUCCACCUGGGAGCCUUCCCUACCCAGCAGCAUGCUGCAGACAGGCAGCUCCUUCACUGCAGAGGACCCUCAAGGAAAUGGAAGCCUCUCUGUGAGAGAAGAGGAUCAAGGAAACCAGGCUGAGGGAUUCACAUGGGCUGCACAGAUUUCAGAGCUAGUGUUAAGAAAAAUUCUCCAUUUCACUAACCAUGUUGAAAUCCUUCUUCAGAAUGAAAUCAACAUCAGAAGCUAGAUUUAAACCUCAGGAAAGAUUAAGAGGAGAGAGGACAACAAGUAACAACUUGUCCAUUUUGUAUGACUUCACCACCAUUGCCCUCAGAUGGAAGAUUCAUAUUUGUUUCAGUAACUGUGACGGUAUCAUGAUAUUUAUUUGUCAAGAAUGGAAUUCUUAACAGUUUUAAGAUUUUGUUUAUGCUGAAAUACCUGGGCUAGGUUUCUGUGCACUAGAUUAUGAAACAGCAGCCUUAGAGUUGCAUUAGACCUGUGCUGUGUCUAAGCAUUUCUGCUGAGAGACAAGAUCAAUGAUGUUACAUGAAACACGAAGCUAAUGCAUCUCUGUGGUCUGCAGGAUUUGACUGAGUACAGAUAGCCCAGCUGUUUCUCACAGAACAUUGCAUGACAUGGAAUUCAUGCACCAGAUGUACUCCUAGGUAACAGAGGUCAAAUUUUUCUUUUAUUGUGAAGUCCAAAAUAAAGUUUAAAAAGUGGGA
rnacentral:lncRNA from 1 species